AGUCGAGCGCGUCCUUUCGGGGGCGAGCGGCGGACGGGUGAGUAACGCGUGGGAACGUGCCCCAAGGUACGGAAUAGCCCCGGGAAACUGGGAGUAAUACCGUAUGUGCUCUGUCAUCGUGGAGAUGGCGGAGGAAAGAAUUUCGCCUUGGGAUCGGCCCGCGUUGGAUUAGGUAGUUGGUGGGGUAACGGCCCACCAAGCCGACGAUCCAUAGCUGGUUUGAGAGGAUGAUCAGCCACACUGGGACUGAGACACGGCCCAGACUCCUACGGGAGGCAGCAGUGGGGAAUCUUAGACAAUGGGGGCAACCCUGAUCUAGCCAUGCCGCGUGAGUGACGAAGGCCUUCGGGUUGUAAAGCUCUUUCAGUGGGGAAGAUAAUGACGGUACCCACAGAAGAAGCCCCGGCUAACUCCGUGCCAGCAGCCGCGGUAAUACGGAGGGGGCUAGCGUUGUUCGGAAUUACUGGGCGUAAAGCGCACGUAGGCGGAUUGUUAAGUCGGGGGUGAAAUCCCGGGGCUCAACCCCGGAACUGCCUUCGAUACUGGCAAUCUGGAGUCCGAGAGAGGUGAGUGGAAUUCCGAGUGU
rnacentral:rRNA from 1 species